rnacentral:rRNA from 1 species
UACAGAGGGUGCAAGCGUUGUUCGGAAUUACUGGGCGUAAAGCGCACGUAGGCGGAUCGUUAAGUCGGGGGUGAAAUCCCGAGGCUCAACCUCGGAACUGCCUUCGAUACUGGCGAUCUUGAGUCCGGGAGAGGUGAGUGGAACUCCGAGUGUAGAGGUGAAAUUCGUAGAUAUUCGGAAGAACACCAGUGGCGAAGGCGGCUCACUGGCCCGGUACUGACGCUGAGAUACGAAAGCGUGGGGAGCAAACAGG